GAUGAACGCUGGCGGCGUGCCUAAUACAUGCAAGUCGAGCGAACGGACGAGAAGCUUGCUUCUCUGAUGUUAGCGGCGGACGGGUGAGUAACACGUGGAUAACCUACCUAUAAGACUGGGAUAACUUCGGGAAACCGGAGCUAAUACCGGAUAAUAUUUUGAACCGCAUGGUUCAAAAGUGAAAGACGGUCUUGCUGUCACUUAUAGAUGGAUCCGCGCUGCAUUAGCUAGUUGGUAAGGUAACGGCUUACCAAGGCAACGAUGCAUAGCCGGCCUGAGAGGGUGAUCGGCCACACUGGAACUGAGACACGGUCCAGACUCCUACGGGAGGCAGCAGUAGGGAAUCGUCCGCAAUGGGCGAAAGCCUGACGGAGCAACGCCGCGUGAGUGAUGAAGGUCUUCGGAUCGUAAAACUCUGUUAUUAGGGAAGAACAUAUGUGUAAGUAACUGUGCACAUCUUGACGGUACCUAAUCAGAAAGCCACGGCUAACUACGUG
rnacentral:rRNA from 1 species